AUUGAACGCUGGCGGCAGGCCUAACACAUGCAAGUCGAGCGAGCGGCGGACGGGUGAGUAAUGUCUGGGAAACUGCCUGAUGGAGGGGGAUAACUACUGGAAACGGUAGCUAAUACCGCAUACCAUCAGAUGUGCCCAGAUGGGAUUAGCUAGUAGGUGGGGUAACGGCUCACCCAGGCGACGAUACCUAGCUGGGCUGAGAGGAUGACCAGCCACACUGGGACUGAGACACGGUCCAAACUCCUACGGGAGGCAGCAGUAGGGAAUAUUGCACAAUGGGCGAAAGUCUGAUGGAGCCAUGCCGCGUGUGUGAAGAAGGCCUUCGGGUUGUAAAGUUCUGUUAUUGGGGAGGCGUUACCCGCAGAGGAAGCACCGGCUAACUCCGUGCCAGCCGCCGCGGUAAUAC
rnacentral:rRNA from 1 species